CCUACGGGAGGCAGCAGUGAGGAAUAUUGGUCAAUGGACGCAAGUCUGAACCAGCCAUGCCGCGUGCAGGAAGACGGCUCUAUGAGUUGUAAACUGCUUUUGUACGAGGGUAAAUCCCGAUACGUGUAUCGGGUUGAAAGUAUCGUACGAAUAAGGAUCGGCUAACUCCGUGCCAGCAGCCGCGGUAAUACGGAGGAUUCAAGCGUUAUCCGGAUUUAUUGGGUUUAAAGGGUGCGUAGGCGGUUCGAUAAGUUAGAGGUGAAAGCCCGGGGCUCAACUCCGGCACUGCCUCUGAUACGGGCGGGCGAGAGGUUAGGUGCGGUAGGCGGAAGGUAUGGUGUAGCGGUGAAAGGCAUAGAGAUCAUACAGAACACCGAUUGCGAAGGCAGCUUACCAAACUACGACUGACGUUGAGGCACGAAAGCGUGGGGAGCAAACAGGAUGAGAUACACUUGUAGUC
rnacentral:rRNA from 1 species